AAUGAACGUUGGCGGCGUGGAUUAGGCAUGCGAGUCGCGCGAGAAUGUAGCAAUACAGGACAGCGGCGAAAGGGAGAGGACAACAUGGGAAUCUGCCCUGGGGACGAGGAUAGCGUCGGGAAACUGACGGUAAUACUCGAUAAUGUUUGCGGACCAAAGGUGAGAUUCCGCCCCAGGAUGAGCCCAUGCCCCAUCAGCUUGUUGGCAGGGUAACGGCCUACCAAGGCUAUGAUGGGUAGCUGGUGUGAGAGCAUGACCAGCCUCACUGGCACUGAGACACUGGCCAGACACCUACGGGUGGCUGCAGUCGAGAAUCUUCGGCAAUGGACGAAAGUCUGACCGAGCGACGCCGCGUGCGGGAUGAAGGCCUUCGGGUUGUAAACCGCUGUCGUAGGGGAUCAAAUGUACGAGGGUUCUCCCUUGUAUUUGAGAGAUCCUAGGAGGAAGGAGAGGCUAAGCUCGUGC
rnacentral:rRNA from 1 species